AUUGAACGCUGGCGGCAUGCCUUACACAUGCAAGUCGAACGGCAGCGGGGGAGAAGCUUGCUUUUCCUGCCGGCGAGUGGCGAACGGGUGAGUAAUACAUCGGAACGUGCCCUGUAGUGGGGGAUAACUAGUCGAAAGAUUAGCUAAUACCGCAUACGACCUGAGGGGGAAAGUGGGGGACCGCAAGGCCUCAUGCUAUAGGAGCGGCCGAUGUCUGAUUAGCUAGUGGGUGGGGUAAAGGCCUACCAAGGCGACGAUCAGUAGCUGGUCUGAGAGGACGAUCAGCCACACUGGGACUGAGACACGGCCCAGACUCCUACGGGAGGCAGCAGUGGGGAAUUUUGGACAAUGGGCGAAAGCCUGAUCCAGCAAUGCCGCGUGUGUGAAGAAGGCCUUCGGGUUGUAAAGCACUUUUGUCCGGAAAGAAAUGGCUCUGGUUAAUACCUGGGGUCGAUGACGGUACCGGAAGAAUAAGGACCGGCUAACUACGUGCCAGCCGCCGCGGUAA
rnacentral:rRNA from 1 species